GGAGAGGUAAGGAGAGAGAGAGCGGAGGGAGAGGUAAGGAGAGAGAGAGCGGAGGGAGAGGUAAGGAGAGAGAGAGCGGAGGGAGAGGUAAGGAGAGAGAGAGCGGAGGGAGAGGUAAGGAGAGAGAGAGCGGAGGGAGAGGUAAGGAGAGAGAGAGCGGAGGGAGAGGUAAGGAGAGAGAGAGCGGAGGGAGAGGUAAGGAGAGAGAGAGCGGAGGGAGAGGUAAGGAGAGAGAGAGCGGAGGGAGAGGUAAGGAGAGAGAGAGCGGAGGGAGAGGUAAGGAGAGAGAGAGCGGAGGGAGAGGUAAGGAGAGAGAGAGCGGAGGGAGAGGUAAGGAGAGAGAGAGCGGAGGGAGAGGUAAGGAGAGAGAGAG